rnacentral:rRNA from 1 species
UGCAAGUCGAGCGGUAAGGCCCUUCGGGGUACACGAGCGGCGAACGGGUGAGUAACACGUGAGCAACCUGCCCCUGACUCUGGGAUAAGCGGUGGAAACGCCGUCUAAUACCGGAUACGACCUUCCGCCUCAUGGUGGAGGGUGGAAAGUUUUUUCGGUCAGGGAUGGGCUCGCGGCCUAUCAGCUUGUUGGUGGGGUAACGGCCUACCAAGGCGAUUACGGGUAGCCGGCCUGAGAGGGCGACCGGCCACACUGGGACUGAGACACGGCCCAGACUCCUGCGGGAGGCAGCAGUGAGGAAUAUUGCGCAAUGGGCGAAAGCCUGACGCAGCGACGCCGCGUGGGGGAUGACGGCCUUCGGGUUGUAAACCUCUUUUACCACCAACGCAGGCUCCGGGUUCUCUCGGGGUUGACGGUAGGUGGGGAAUAAGGACCGGCUAACUACGUGCCAGCAGCCGCGGUAAUACGUAGGGUCCGAGCGUUGUCCGGAAUUAUUGGGCGUAAAGAGCUCGUAGGCGGCGUGUCGCGUCUGCUGUGAAAGACCGGGGCUUAACUCCGGUUCUGCAGUGGAUACGGGCAUGCUAGAGGUAGGUAGGGGAGACUGGAAUUCCUGGUGUAGCGGUGAAAUGCGCAGAUAUCAGGAGGAACACCGGUGGCGAAGGCGGGUCUCUGGGCCUUACCUGACGCUGAGGAGCGAAAGCAUGGGGAGCGAACAGGAUUAGAUACCCUGGUAGUCCAUGCCGUAAACGUUGGGCGCUAGGUGUUGGGGACUUUCCACGGUUUCCGCGCCGUAGCUAACGCAUUAAGCGCCCGCCCUGGGGGAGUACGGCCGCAAGGCUAAAACUCAAAGGAAUUUGACGGGGGCCCGCACAAGCGGCGGGAGCAUGU